AUUGAACGCUGGCGGCAUGCUUUACACAUGCAAGUCGAACGGCAGCGCGGGCUUCGGCCUGGCGGCCAGUGGCGAACGGGUGAGUAAUGCAUCGGAACGUGCCCAGUAGUGGGGGAUAGCCCGGCGAAAGCCGGAUUAAUACCGCAUACGACCUGAGGGUGAAAGCGGGGGACCGAAAGGCCUCGCGCUAUCGGAGCGGCCGAUGUCGGAUUAGCUAGUUGGUGGGGUAAAGGCUUACCAAGGCGACGAUCCGUAGCUGGUCUGAGAGGACGACCAGCCACACUGGAACUGAGACACGGCCCAGACUCCUACGGGAGGCAGCAGUGGGGAAUUUUGGACAAUGGGGGCAACCCUGAUCCAGCCAUGCCGCGUGCGGGAAGAAGGCCUUCGGGUUGUAAACCGCUUUUGUUCGGGAAGAAAUCCUCUGGGCUAAUACCCCGGGGGGAUGACGGUACCGGAAGAAUAAGCACCGGCUAACUACGUG
rnacentral:rRNA from 1 species